CCUACGGGCGGCAGCAGUAGGGAAUAUUGCUCAAUGGGGGAAACCCUGAAGCAGCAACGCCGCGUGGAGGAUGAAGGUUUUCGGAUUGUAAACUCCUUUUGUUAGAGAAGAUAAUGACGGUAUCUAACGAAUAAGCACCGGCUAACUCAGUGCCAGCAGCCGCGGUAAUACGGAGGGUGCAAGCGUUACUCGGAAUCACUGGGCGUAAAGAGCGCGUAGGCGGGAUAGCAAGUCAGAUGUGAAAUCCUAUGGCUUAACCAUAGAACUGCAUUUGACACUGUUAUUCUAGAGUAGGGGAGAGGUAGGUGGAAUUCUUGGUGUAGGGGUAAAAUCCGUAGAGAUCAAGAGGAAUACUCAUUGCGAAGGCGACCUGCUAGAACAUAACUGACGCUGAUGCGCGAAAGCGUGGGUAUCAAACAGGAUUAGAUACCCGAGUAGUC
rnacentral:rRNA from 1 species